UAAGUAGGACACGUGACAUCCCGGGCAUCUUUGAGAAAAAAAACACUUUCUAUUGGAGUUGUCUCGGGAUGUCUAUGCAUAUUCUUCUUUGAUUUUAUCAAUAUAUAAACCUGUAGUUAACUAACUAGCGAACUUAGAUGGUGAAACUAGGUGUUCUGGAUAAUGUUUGUUUGUGAAUGUGUGUGAGGGAUGGGUAGCCUACUUCAAGUACUUAUUGACUUGUAGCUGCCCUAGCUAGCAGUAUUAUUUUGGGCUGGCUUUUUGUGAGGUUUCAGAGAUGGACUGAUUGAUUAUCAUUCUCUCUUGAGUCAACAGUGUGCCUACUUUACUACAGGAAUACAUUGAUCUGUUUGCUGUUACCCUCUGGACAGCAGAUCAUUAGUAUAGCUAGUAGGCAUGGUUAUGUAACCUUAUUUAGUCAUACCUGCUAUGGUGGGUUUUAAAUAAAUUGGUAUUCACAUGUCUGUUUGUUUUUUGGUAAAAUUACUGUCAUGUUAUUGAUGCCAAUUGCAAACCUUAUUUGAACCUUUUCUAUUCCAGAACCAAUGUGUGUGCCUGAGUCUUAUCACCUCUCAACUAGGUAAUCUGUUUCAACCUGGAACACUGUGCUCCUGCUUUGGUCUGUUUCGGUCAUUGCAGGAAGUCCUGAAGAGCAGGAGUGUGCGAAUGGUUUUGUCCCAGCCCAGCUCUUACACCAGACUUAAAUAAUCAUCAUAACGAAUCACCGCGAUAGGCCUUGAUUUGUAAUCAGGUAUAAGCUGGGCUGGAACAAAAGUGUAUACUGUACACACUCCUGCUAUUCAUAUCUGGAGCCGUCCACCUCUUUAAGUCAUUAUUCUGUACUAUGGGUACAGCUGAACUUGUUGACUGAUACCAAGGCGGCGGAUGUUAAGAAGAAGGGAGAAGACUGCAGCCAAGGCAGCACUGGUCCACACCUGCCCUGUCUUGUCAGUAGAUGCAGACCCGAAGACAUUCAAGUAGCACUUUGAGAGCAAGCAUUCCAAGUCUCCAAUGGUCCCAGUACUGGUUGAUGUGUAGGUCUAAGUGACCACACACACUGAAAUGGACCUACAGCUGGGAGACACACGAUGACCACGAUUUGAAUGACAUUGAGGGACACUCUGAGACCCCGAGAAUGACUGGACAUGGGCUGGAUAUUUGUGACAAUGAUUUAAAAGGGGUGUAGAAGAACACCAGCACCCCAUUUUAUGUUUAUUCCACAGCCAACCAUUCCUCUACCUACCCCUUAUUCCACAUAUGCCCCAUGGUCCCUCAACUUCUAACAUUUUGGAACUCUCCAUCUUAUCUCUAUAAACCCACCUUACCGUCACCCAUUUUCCCUAUGCUGCUUCCUUAAUUACAUUUUUUAUAUAUUUUUUUAUAUCCGAAACAUACAAUAUAGUUGCAGUGAAGCCGCUCAACA